rnacentral:rRNA from 1 species
AGAUGUUGGGUUAAGUCCCGCAACGAGCGCAACCCUUAAGCUUAGUUGCCAUCAUUAAGUUGGGCACUCUAAGUUGACUGCCGGUGACAAACAAAGACGGUCUUGCUGUCACUUAUAGAUGGAUCCGCGCUGCAUUAGCUAGUUGGUAAGGUAACGGCUUACCAAGGCAACGAUGCAUAGCCGACCUGAGAGGGUGAUCGGCCACACUGGAACUGAGACACGGUCCAGACUCCUACGGGAGGCAGCAGUAGGGAAUCUUCCGCAAUGGGCGAAAGCCUGACGGAGCAACGCCGCGUGAGUGAUGAAGGUCUUCGGAUCGUAAAACUCUGUUAUUAGGGAAGAACAUAUGUGUAAGUAACUGUGCACAUCUUGACGGUACCUAAUCAGAAAGCCACGGCUAACUACGUGCCAGCAGCCGCGGUAAUACGUAGGUGGCAAGCGUUAUCCGGAAUUAUUGGGCGUAAAGCGCGCGUAGGCGGUUUUUUAAGUCUGAUGUGAAAGCCCACGGCUCAACCGUGGAGGGUCAUUGGAAACUGGAAAACUUGAGUGCAGAAGAGGAAAGUGGAAUUCCAUGUGUAGCGGUGAAAUGCGCAGAGAUAUGGAGGAACACCAGUGGCGAAGGCGACUUUCUGGUCUGUAACUGACGCUGAUGUGCGAAAGCGUGGGGAUCAAACAGGAUUAGAUACCCUGGUAGUCCACGCCGUAAACGAUGAGUGCUAAGUGUUAGGGGGUUUCCGCCCCUUAGUGCUGCAGCUAACGCAUUAAGCACUCCGCCUGGGGAGUACGACCGCAAGGUUGAAACUCAAAGGAAUUGACGGGGACCCGCACAAGCGGUGGAGCAUGUGGUUUAAUUCGAAGCAACGCGAAGAACCUUACCAAAUCUUGACAUCCUUUGACAACUCUAGAGAUAGAGCCUUCCCCUUCGGGGGACAAAGUGACAGGUGGUGCAUGGUUGUCGUCAGCUCGUGUCGUGAGAUGUUGGGUUAAGUCCCGCAACGAGCGCAACCCUUAAGCUUAGUUGCCAUCAUUAAGUUGGGCACUCUAAGUUGACUGCCGGUGACAAACCGGAGGAAGGUGGGGAUGACGUCAAAUCAUCAUGCCCCUUAUGAUUUGGGCUACACACGUGCUACAAUGGACAAUACAAAGGGCAGCGAAACCGCGAGGUCAAGCAAAUCCCAUAAAGUUGUUCUCAGUUCGGAUUGUAGUCUGCAACUCGACUACAUGAAGCUGGAAUCGCUAGUAAUCGUAGAUCAGCAUGCUACGGUGAAUACGUUCCCGGGUCUUGUACACACCGCCCGUCACACCACGAGAGUUUGUAACACCCGAAGCCGGUGGAGUAACCUUUUAGGAGCUAGCCGUCGAAGGUGGGACAAAUGAUUGGGGUGAAGUCGUAACAAGGUAGCCGUAUCGGAAGGUGCGGCUGGAUCACCU